rnacentral:rRNA from 1 species
CACGUAGGGUGCGAGCGUUGUCCGGAAUUAUUGGGCGUAAAGGGCUCGUAGGCGGUUUGUCGCGUCGGGAGUGAAAACUCAGGGCUCAACCCUGAGCGUGCUUCCGAUACGGGCAGACUAGAGGUAUGCAGGGGAGAACGGAAUUCCUGGUGUAGCGGUGGAAUGCGCAGAUAUCAGGAGGAACACCGGUGGCGAAGGCGGUUCUCUGGGCAUUACCUGACGCUGAGGAGCGAAAGCAUGGGGAGCGAACAGG